GGGUGCGUCGGCCACGACCUUUUGGCCAGGUUAGGGAGGGGGCGACGCUGAGAUGGGGGCGGCGGCGGCGGAAGCGGAUCGGACUCUCUUUGUGGGCAACCUUGAAACGAAAGUGACCGAGGAGCUCCUUUUCGAGCUUUUCCACCAGGCUGGGCCAGUAAUAAAGGUGAAAAUUCCAGAAGAUAAGGAUGGUAAACCAAAGCAGUUUGCGUUUGUGAAUUUCAAACAUGAAGUAUCUGUUCCUUAUGCAAUGAAUCUACUUAAUGGAAUCAAACUUUAUGGAAGGCCUAUCAAAAUUCAAUUUAGAUCAGGAAGUAGUCAUGCCUCGCAAGAUGUCAGUUUGUCAUAUCCCCAGCAUCAUGUUGGCAAUUCAAGCCCUACCUCCACAUCUCCUAGCAGCAGGUACGAAAGGACUAUGGAUAACAUGACUUCCUCAGCUCAGAUAAUUCAGAGAUCUUUCUCUUCUCCAGAAAAUUUUCAGAGACAAGCAGUGAUGAACAGUGCUUUGAGACAAAUGUCAUAUGGUGGAAAAUUUGGUUCUCCACCUCUGGAUCAAUCAGGAUUUUCACCAUCAGUUCAAUCACACAGUCAUAGUUUUAACCAGUCUUCAAGCUCUCAGUGGCGCCAAGAUACACCGUCAUCACAGCGUAAAGUCAGAAUGAAUUCUCAUCCCUACCUAGCAGAUAGACAUUAUAGCCGGGAACAGCGUUACACUGAUCAUGGCUCUGACCAUCAUUACAGAGGAAACAGAGAUGAUUUCUUCUAUGAAGAUAGGAAUCAUGAUGGCUGGAGCCAUGACUAUGAAAACAGAAGAGACAGUAGUAGAGAUGGAAAAUGGCGUUCAUCUCGACACUAACGUGUUAAAAGGACAUUGUUUUUAUAGGGUCAUUUUAGGCCCUUCGACUAAGUUGAUAUGGAAAUAUUUUGUUGAAAAACUGUACAGAGCAGCUUUACAAGUUGUCACAUUUCUUUAUACAUUUUUUAAAGCUACAAUUUAAUACAAAAUGAAUUAUGGUUUUAUUACAUUAAUAACCUUUCACCUCAGGGUUUUAUGAAGAGGAAAGGGUUUUAUGCAAAAGAAAGUGCUACAAUUCCUAAUCAUUUUAGACACUUUAGGAGGGAGUGCAGUUGUAUGAUAAAGCAGAUAUUUUAAUUAUUUGUUAUCUUUUUGUACUGCAAGAAAUUUCUUGCUAGUGAAUCAAGAAAAUGUCCAAGUUGACAGUCUAAAAUGGCUACUGGUAUUUUGUGAAUUCAAAAAUAUAACUUUUCAGUGAUUCAUUUUACUAACAUUCUAUUUGAGAAGACUUAUUGGUAAAGUUUGGGGAUAAAGGCAUUGCUUAACUUCUUAGGUAAUUUAGGUAUAAAUUCUGUGACAUGCUCUUGAGCUUUACCCUAGUUGAAGAUGCAUGUGUAGACCUACACAUACUGUUUCACUCUAAAAUUUAGAAAUUGUUCAUUAAAUCACAUUUGAGGUAUAAGUCACUCAGGAAGUUAAAAUAUCUCUACGUGUAUAUUUUUACCUUAAAAAUACAGUGUUAGCAUAAAUCCCCUUUUCAGGAAGAACAAAAGUGUCAGUGCAUAGUUAGAUAAAAUGGUAAAAUGUUUUACUGAAAGCAUACUUUUUCGGAAAAAAGAUUCAUGGAGCCUUUAAGUGCUGCCUCUGUCAGUCAAACGUUAAAAACUUUUAACAUUUUCAGAGUGCCCAGGAUGUGUACAAAGACACAUGUAAUGGAGAUUGUACAGGUUUUUUUUUUUGUUUGAACUUUUGAAAGAAUUUAAUCUCAACGUUUUCUAAUUUUAAAAAUUUAAAAUCUUGUUUAACAAAAACUUUUAAUGUAUUAAGAUACUGUUUUCAUUUCAUUACAGAAUUGUUUAUAGAAGUUCAUUCUUUGAAAAAUAAGGAUCCUUUUUAAUACCACAGCAUUUGUACUGUUCCUUUUUAAUACACUGAAAAUAUAAAAGG